GAAAACCACCCCGAUGAGGGGAGUGAAACAGUACCUGAAACCGGAUGCUUACAAGCUGAGGGAGCUCUUCGGAGUGACCUCGUACCUUUUGUAUAAUGGGUCAACGACUUAGUGUUGUAUGCAAGCUUAAACCGUUAGGUGUAGGCGCAGCGAAAGCGAGUCUGAAUAGGGCGACCGAGUAUGCAGCAUUAGACCCGAAGGCAAGUGAUCUAGGUAUGGGCAGGGUGAAGGUGCAGUAACAUGCACUGGAGGCCCGAACCGUUGAGCGUUGAAAAGCUCUCGGAUGACCUGUGCCUAGGGGUGAAAGGCCAAUCAAACUUGCUGAUAGCUGGUUCUCCGCGAAAUCUAUUUAGGUAGAGCGUCGAUCGAAUACUCUUGGGGGUAGAGCACUGACUGGGCUAGGGGUCCUCACCGGAUUACCAAACCUUAUCAAACUCCGAAUACCAAGAAGUACUAAUCGGCAGACACACAGCGGGUGCUAACGUCCGUCGUGGAGAGGGAAACAACCCUGACCACCAAUUAAGGUCCCCAAAUAAUGGCUAAGUGUGAAAGGAUGUGGGAUUGCUUUGACAAUGAGGAGGUUGGCUUAGAAGCAGCCAUCCUUUAAAGA
rnacentral:rRNA from 1 species